CUUUUCUCUCAUUACUGGGAGAACUCUCUCCUUACUCCAACAGCUAUUUCAUGACUUUCUGCUGGCUCUGGGGUCUGAUGGUGUGGUGGGAAAGGUGAUUGUCAAUGUGGUUAUGCUGUUGGCAGAAUAUGCCCUCCCUAGCAUGGAGUGCUGCAUGGGUGAGAACUGCAACUUAACUGGAUGAGUCUCUUGACUUGUGAACAGCCAGUAAGAUUCCAUAAUCUUUAUGUGCUUCUGGGAGCUGAAUGAAAGCACCAGGUGUACAUCAUCGUACAGCUGAAAGACCUGAGGAUUGAGCGCGAAUGACCUCUUUGGGGUGGAUAGCAACACCAAGACAGUCACAAUGAGGCCUAUUAAGAGAACAUCUUCUGGAACACAGCAGCUCUGGGACUUGACUCUGUGGCCACUGUAAUGGUAAAUGUAUCCUGCUGUCUCAUGACUAUUUUGGAAAAUGCUACAAAAAUUCCAUGCUUUUGGGGUGUUUUGUUGUGCAUAUACUAAGAACAGCUGAAGAAACAGAUUAAUAAUUACAAACAUGAACUAAAGCCUGAAAAUUCCCCUAUUUCCUUCAAUUUAAACAUGUUACCAUGUACUGAGGAAUUAAGAGGAACUCUCAUAUGUGUUAAAUAAA